rnacentral:lncRNA from 1 species
CGAAAAACAAAUAUACUAACUUGUGCAAAAACUUUGUCGGUUUUUCAUCUUAUGUAUGUUGUUUCAGUGAUUCAGUUCGCGGCUCAUAGUGAGGGUGACAUUUGUGUUUGAGAGGAGAUUUUGUGUGUGUGUCUGUGUGUGUGAUGAUUAUAUGGAAUUCACUCUCAGAAGGCAUACUUCAGCUUGUGACUCGACCUUGUGAACGAAUCCUUCACUGCUAAAGGUGUUUUGUUGAAGAAGACAAUGAUCAAAUCAUGGG